rnacentral:lncRNA from 1 species
CCCUAACCCCAAAACCCAAAACUCGAACCCAUAAUCCCUACCCCAUAACCCAUAACUCCUUAACCCUAAACCCUUAACCCUAAACCUUAAACCCUAAACCCCUAAACCCUAAAACGCUAAAUCCUGAAAUCGAAACCCCAAACCCCUAAGCCCUAAGCUUGAAACCCUAACCCCAAAACUCAAAACCACAAACCUUAAACCCCAAACCCUUAAACUCCAAACCCCAAUUCCAAAACUCCUAAGCCCUAAUCCCUAAACCCUAAACUCUAAGUCCGAACCCCGAACCCCCGAACCCGAAACCUUGAAACCCUAAAUCUUGAACCCUAAACGCUGAAUACUAAAUCCUGAACCCAAAACCCUAAACUCUAAUCCGUAAAUCUUAAAUCAUCUAUAAUACAAAUGACAAUUACGUUUAAAUUCUAAAUCUAUCUUUUGCUAUCUACGGUUGAAAUCCAUUUCAGUUAAUUCAACGGCUGAGAUUUCGCUUGAGAUUAUUUUUUUUCCUCUCAAAACUAUCACAUCCUUCUUCUCAAAAGGUGUGGGACCCAUAUAGCUUCUUAUCCUAUGGACAAAAAAAGCUUAAAGAUGAGCAUGUAUUUUAUCCCAUUGAAUUAUUUUGUUAGUGGGCCCCAUAAUAAAAUAAAUAAAACACACCUUUUUUUCUCUUUUUUUUAUUUAAUAAUUUUUUUACUAUUUAAUUAAUUUUUUAUAUUAUUUUAGUUAUUUUGAUAAUAAUAGUUUAAAAAUAUAAAAUUAUUUAAUAUGGAGAUAA